AGAUUGAACGCUAGCGGGAUGCUUUACACAUGCAAGUCGAACGGCAGCGCGGACUUCGGUCUGGCGGCGAGUGGCGGACGGGUGAGUAAUAUAUCGGAACGUGCCCAGUAGCGGGGGAUAACUACGCGAAGCGUGGCUAAUACCGCAUACGCCCGUACGGGGGGAAAGGGGGGAUUCUUCGGAACCUCUCACUAUUGGAGCGGCCGAUAUCAGAUUAGCUUAGUUGGUGAGGUAAAGGCUCACCAAGGCGACGAUCUGUAG
rnacentral:rRNA from 1 species